rnacentral:sRNA from 1 species
AAGAAGAGAGUGAAAGUGAAAGUGAGCAAAGUAUGGAUUCUGAGGAGCCGGACAGCCGGGGAGGCUCCCCUCAGAUGGAUGACAUCAAAGUGUUCCAGAAUGAAGUUUUAGGAACACUACAGCGGGGCAAAGAGGAGAACAUUUCUUGUGACAAUCUGGUCCUGGAAAUCAACUCUCUCAAGUAUGCGUAUAACAUAAGUCUAAAGGAGGUGAUGCAGGUACUGAGCCACGUGGUCCUGGAGUUCCCCCUGCAACAGAUGGAUUUCCCGCUUGACUCAAGCCGCUACUGUGCCCUGCUGCUUCCUGUGAGCAAAGAUUGGAGCUGAGUACAAGGGUUUGGGUACAGGCAAAGGAAAUCAGGAGUAGACUGUCUUGUUGUAUUGGGUGUAUGUCACUUCUGGUUCCUUUCUCCUUGCCUCUGGAAGCUGGCUGGGCUCUAGAGCAGCCUU